CUCCCGGGAGGGCCCUGCAGGAAGCAGGAUGUUGACCGGAGUCUGUGCCCAGUGGCUCCUUGGGCGGGUGGACCCAGCCACGUUUGAGGAAACUGAGGCUCCUCAGAGUAAGGGAUCCAGCUGAACUGGGAACAGGUGUUGGUGUGCCCCUACUCUGCCCCAUGGUAACAUGGCGAGGACAGGGGCAAAUUUUCUAUGUGGAGAGACCAACCCAAGGCACUCAAUCCUUGUCCGUCCUGGAUUUGGGAGCUACAGCCUUCUACUGCUUUUGAGAAGCUUACAUUUGGGCAUUUCUUCAAAAGACUACCACCUUGAUCAAAGUAGACAUUACAAGAAUAUAAACCUAUUAUUGGGGGAAAGAAGAAGGAAAGUAAUCUAUAGAAAGUGUUUAACUGAAAUUACAAAUAUACGCACAAGUCUUUAUACAGGCAUUUUUGUCCUUUUUGGUCCCUGAAAUUAAUUAACAGGGCCACAGAAAAUCUGAUAUCUUUAGGUAAAAUGAUUACGCACCUAUAUUCCUUAAGUCAGAGCUGGUAAGUUUAAAGGGAGCAUUUACAACCACGUUUGCACAGUUCAUUGUUAAUUCCUGAUUUCCUAAGUUACAUCAAUCAUACAAAUGUGUGAAAGGCUUCUGAACAAGUGGGGCAUCUGACUCUGGGAUGCUUACCUCUUGGGAUUAAAAUUCCCAACACUUUGGUGUCUCUAUGAAUUUAUACAACAUUCCUAACAAAGGUUUAAUAAUGCUUUUUUAGGAAUUGCCAAAAGUGGCUAAGAUUAAAACAAAAACACAUAGCAAACAAGCUAUGGAAAAGUGGCCUAAAUUUUGUUUCCUUAAGUGACUAAGCUCAAGCAAAAAAUUAUGUGUUACAUACAGCUUUUAUUAAAAUAGGUUUUUCUUCUAAAACAUACACAGCCACAGUUUUAUUGUGUAUACAGUGUGCUUAUAGACACAUGUGGCCAAAUGGAUCCAAAGGUCUUCCAAAGCUCAGUAAAUCCCACGUAUUUUAUGUCCUAGCCAGAUCAUGUAUAUGCGUUAAAGUCACUGGUAUACUUUUUACAGAUAUCUUUGUGUAAUAGUUCAGAAGAAAAAAAAAA